UGGGGAAUAUUGCGCAAUGGGCGAAAGCCUGACGCAGCAACGCCGCGUGAGUGAUGAAGGCCUUCGGGUCGUAAAGCUCUGUCGGAGGGAACGAAUGCUCUUGAGGUUAAUAGCCUCGGGAGGUGACGGUACCCUCAAAGGAAGCACCGGCUAACUCUGUGCCAGCAGCCGCGGUAAUACGAAGGGGGCUAGCGUUGUUCGGAUUUACUGGGCGUAAAGCGCGUGUAGGCGGGUCGUUAAGUUGGGGGUGAAAUCCCGAGGCUCAACCUCGGAACUGCCUUCAAAACUGGCGACCUGGACUCAAGCAGAGGCAAGUGGAAUUGCGAGUGUAGAGGUGAAAUUCGUAGAUAUUCGCAGGAACACCAGUGGCGAAGGCGACUUGCUGGGCUUGUAGUGACGCUGAGACGCGAAAGCGUGGGGAGCAAACAGGAUUAGAUACCCCCGUAGUCCCUGAGCGGGCUGGCAAGGCGCAU
rnacentral:rRNA from 1 species